rnacentral:rRNA from 1 species
AGAGUUUGAUCCUGGCUCAGAACGAACGCUGGCGGCGUGGCUAAGGCAUGCAAGUCGAACGGGGUUUUUUCGGGUGGCAACACCUGGAUAAACCUAGUGGCGAACAGGUGAGUAAUGCGUGGGUAACGUACCCUGAACUCGGGGAUAGCGGCGGUCUUCGGACCUUUAGCGAAAGUGCCGGUAAUACCCGAUAACACCUGCAGAUCUCAUGUUCUGCAGGUCAAAGUUUUUCGGUUUGGGAGCGGCCCACGUCCUAUCAGCUUGUUGGUGGGGUAACAGCCUACCAAGGCUCUGACGGGUAGCCGGCGUGAGAGCGUGAUCGGCCACAUCGGGACUGAGACACUGCCCGGACACCUACGGGUGGCUGCAGCAACGAAUAAUCCGCAAUGGGCGAAAGCCUGACGGUGCGACGCCGCGUGGAGGAUGAAGUUCUUCGGAAUGUAAACUCCAAUAGUAUGUCAGGAAGAUCCGACCAGCAUACGAAAGGGGUGGCUAACUCCGUGCCAGCAGCCGCGGUAACACGGAGACCCCUAGCGUUGUUCGGAAUCACUGGGCUUAAAGCGCGUGUAGGCGGAACGGAAAGUAUCUUGUGAAAGCCCCCGGCUCAACCGGGGAAUUGCUCGGUAUACUAUCGUUCUUGAGGCAGGUAGGGGCUGCUGGAACCUUAGGUGGAGCGGUGAAAUGCGUAGAUAUCUAAGGGAACGCCUGUGGCGAAAGCGGGCAGCUGGACCUGUUCUGACGCUGAGACGCGAAAGCGUAGGGAGCGAACGGGAUUAGAUACCCCGGUAGUCUACGCCGUAAACGAUGCGCACUAGGUUCGAGGGCUUCUGACAGCAUUCGUGCCGAAACAAAAGCGAUAAGUGCGCCGCCUGGGGAGUACGGCCGCAAGGCUAAAACUCAAAGGAAUUGACGGGGGCUCACACAAGCGGUGGAGCAUGUGGAUUAAUUCGAAACAACGCGAAGAACCUUACCUGGGUUGAACUACGGCGGAUGCCCUCGGUGAAAGUCGAGUAAGCUGCCUUCGGGUGAAACGUCGAUAGGUGCUGCAUGGCUGUCGUCAGCUCGUGCUGUGAAGUGUCGGGUUAAGUCCCUUAACGAGCGAAACCCUUAUCGUUAGUUACCAGCGGGUUAAGCCGGGAACUCUAGCGAGACUGCCGGCGUUAAGCCGGAGGAAGGCGGGGACGACGUCAAGUCAUCAUGGCCUUUAUGUCCAGGGUGUCACACGUGCUACAAUGGGGUGUACAGAGCGACGCGAGACCGUGAGGUGGAGCAAAUCGCACAAAACAUCCCUCAGUUCGGAUUGAGGUCUGCAACUCGACCUCAUGAAGCUGGAAUCGCUAGUAAUCGCGUAUCAGCCAUGACGCGGUGAAUAUGUUCCUGAGCCUUGUACGC